GGCGCCUUGGCCGAGUGGUUAGGCAGGACUCUGCAAAAGUUCGUACACCGGUUCAAAUCCGGUAGGUGCCUCCA
rnacentral:tRNA from 1 species